rnacentral:lncRNA from 1 species
CAAACACAUACUAGAACCUGUUGAGCGAGAGAGAACACAGAGAAGAGGGAAAAACCAAGGAAAAAGGGAAGAAAAGAAAAAGAAAGGAAGGAAAAAGGAAGAAGAAAUCUUGUGCCAACUACUUCAAUCUUGUUUAUUUAAUUCUUCAAGAGGUAAGGUUAAUAAUUUAUGGUUUAGUUUUUGUAAAUUAUUGUUUAGGGUUUUAAAUUUAUAGCUUAUACUUGAAAAAUAUGAUAAGGAAGCUAACUAUUUUAGUAUUUUGAGUUAGUUAUUCUAGUGGAUUGGAAGAAAUGAUAUUUAGAUAUUAGGGUUUUGUUAUAUGUGGGUUAAUCCGAAAAUUUGGGGAAAAAUUAGCAUUAUUGUUAUUUUUCCUUGUGAUUGUUGUAUGGUAUUAAGUUAGUUUGGUUGAAAAUAACUUAUCUUGUGAUUAGUUCUCACUUUGGAUGAAUAUGGAGAAUAUAAGAAAGAAGCUUUUGAUAAGAUUUAUGUAUUUAGUUAAAAUAAAAUUUAAAUAAGGAAUGAGGAUGAUUAUUAUCAUGAAAAGCUUGUUGAAUCUUGAUGGGGCAGCCAGGAAAGGUUAGUAUUAACGAGUUAGGGAUGUAGAGUGAUUCGAAAUUAAGUGAAUGUAUGUUUAAGUAACCAAAUGAAAAAUAAAUAUUAAGUCUUAUCUUAUUGCUUAUUGAGGGAUAUAUAUUUUGUUUUGAUGAUAAGAAGGGGUUAUUAUUGAGAAAUUUCUUGUAAUUGUGUAUGGAUGGAAUUGAAGUGGCUUAUAUUUAUGAUCGUUUUAGGGGGGGGGGGGAUUUGAACGUGGGAACAACAUACCAGCCCCGUUAGACCAGCCUACAUCUGUGAGUGGAGAAUCUGUGUUUUCAAAAAGAAGAUUUUUCGUUUAUUUUAUAGAAGCAUGUUAAUUACAUGAAAUGCUUUAUUUUCGAGAAUUAGUAAAUGAGCAUGAUUGUUUUGAAAUUAUCAUAAAAUAAUUGAUUUGAUUAUCUUACUCUAGUGCACUGAGGGGCUACGACCAUGUACUAGAGUCAUGUACUUAACUCUUAUACACUGAAGGGCUACGGCCGUGGGUAAAGGUAUCCAAUAUACACCGAGGGGCUACAGCCUUGUGUAAGACUAACUCUUAUCCACUGAGGGGCUAUGGCUGUGGCUAAAGUUAUUCAUUAUACAUUGAGGGGCUAUAACCGUUAUCCAUUUUACAUGGGAUAUACUUUGUUGUGAAUUUUAACUAUAUAGUGGAUUAUUAGUCUUCAACUUACAUUUUCCCGUUUACAAUUCAGCUUAUGGAUUUCAAAUUAUGGUUUUAGAUUAUUUAAUUAUCUAAUGUACUUACUCAUCUUGUUGUGUGUGUGUGUGUGUGUGUGUGUGUAAAGGACAGUACAACUAUCUUUUAUGCACUUUACUCACUAGGAUUAUUAUCUCAUAUUUUUCUUAACUUUUCCUAAUAGGAGGCUGUUGACUGAGCUGUGGUGAAGAUUAUUUUGAUAGUCUUGUAGCCACUAUUACCACCAUUUAUAGGUUCUUUUGUUUGAAAUUGUGUAAUCAUCAAGUGACAUAUUUGCAUCAUAUUGGAGGAUUUUUUUUGUAUUUAUAUGUACCAAUGAUCAUGAUGGAAUAUUGUAAUUUAAACUGCAUUCUAUUAUCCUUUUGAGAGGCAGUUAUGAUGCGAAUGAUAUGGAUGUUUUUGGCUAGAUGAGUG